UACCGAACAGGAACCUGCAUUUUAACAAGAUGCGCAGGUGAUUCAUGUGCACAUCAAGCCAGGUGGAAGAAUUCACAGGCAGCUACAGCUCUACAUCCCUGACCACAACUUGUCCCGCCCAAUCAUCACCAGGAUCCCGGACUCUUUUCUCCAGAUGAGAAAACGGAAGCUCAGGGAGGUUCAAGACACAAGCAAGGACAGGGCAGCCACUGAGUGCCCACGGCAGGUGUCUCUGCGUUCCGCGCGGCCCCAGCAGGAAGCACCGGACACAGCUCCCCGCUGACGGACGUGGCAGGUCAUUGCAGGGGGCAGACGUACCUCCAGUCUUUGAGGGAACCAGCUUGUCUAGAGGAAUGGGCUUGGUGCCGGAAGGAGGAAGGUCACCUGGAAACAUAAAACCCCUCAGGGGAGGACGGUCCUGAGUGCAGUGGUCCUGCAGAGGAAGCUGGGCACUGCAUGUGUACUGGGGCAUCUAGGCUGCGACUUUGAGGCAACGGAGAGCCACAAGCACACAGAUCUGGAAGACCACUGGACCCUGACCGUGCCAGCUCCACUCCCACCCCUCCUCGGUCGUGCAAAUGUCUUGGGGAAAGCCAAGGACUAUGACCAUCCACCCAUCGUCAUGGGAAAUGAGAUGGUUUGGGAACAAAAUCAACUCUUCGCUGUCUUGUGCAGACAGGCAGUGGAAGACUAUAGUCAAGAGCGCAAACUUUGGAGUCAAAAACAUCAGUUCAGAAACUAGCUAUGGCUCUUCCCCGCUGUGAUCUCUGAGCAUAGGUUUCCCCAUGUAAAGUGUGACGCUCAUGAUGCCAAUUUCUCAUGUGGUGUUGGGAGGAUUGAAUGCAAUAAAAGGAAUAAA